rnacentral:rRNA from 1 species
UACCAGCACCCCGAGUGGUCGGGACGUUUAUUGGGCCUAAAGCACCCGUAGCCGGUUCUACAAGUCUUCCGUUAAAUCCACCUGCUUAACAGAUGGGCUGCGGAAGAUACUAUAGAGCUAGGAGGCGGGAGAGGCAAGCGGUACUCGAUGGGUAGGGGUAAAAUCCGUUGAUCCAUUGAAGACCACCAGUGGCGAAGGCGGCUUGCCAGAACGCGCUCGACGGUGAGGGAUGAAAGCUGGGGGAGCAAACCGG